rnacentral:rRNA from 1 species
CAGUAGCCACGGUAAUACGGAGGGUGCAAGCGUUAAUCGGAAUUACUGGGCGUAAAGCGCACGCAGGCGGUCUGACAAGUCAGAUGUGAAAUCCCCGGGCUUAACCUGGGAACUGCAUUUGAAACUGUCAGGCUGGAGUCUUGUAGAGGGGGGUGGAAUUCCAGGUGUAGCGGUGAAAUGCGUAGAGAUCUGGAGGAAUACCGGUGGCGAAGGCGGCCCCCUGGACAAAGACUGACGCUCAGGUGCGAAAGCGUGGGGAGCAAACAGGAUUAGAUACCCGCGUAGUCCCUGUCUCUAUACA